AGUGAACGCUGGCGGUAGGCCUAACACAUGCAAGUCGAACGGCAGCACAGUAAGAGCUUGCUCUUACGGGUGGCGAGUGGCGGACGGGUGAGGAAUAUAUCGGAAUCUACUUUUUCGUGGGGGAUAACGGAGGGAAACUUACGCUAAUACCGCAUACGACCUACGGGUGAAAGCAGGGGAUCUUCGGACCUUGCGCGAUUGAAUGAGCCGAUUUCGGAUUAGCUAGUUGGCGGGGUAAAGGCCCACCAAGGCGACGAUCCGUAGCUGGUCUGAGAGGAGGGCCGGCCACACUGGACCGAGGCCACGCUCCAGCCUCCUCCGGGGGCCGCCGUUGGGGAUUAUUGGACAUGGGGCGCAAGCCUGAUCCAGCCCUACCGCUUGGGUGAAGAAGGCCUUCGGGUUGUAAAGCCCUUUUGUUGGGAAAGAAAAGCAGCAGGUUAAUACCCCGCUGUUCUGACGGUACCCAAAGAAUAAGCACCGGCUAACUUCGUG
rnacentral:rRNA from 1 species